rnacentral:rRNA from 1 species
GCCCUUGACAUAAUAAAAGGUGUUACCUGCCCACUGGUUUAUAAAUAAAGAAAUAAAAAUACUUCAAAUAAACUAAAAGGACGCGGUAUCCUGACCGUGAUAAUGUAGCAUAAUCAUUCGCCAUUUAAUUGAUGGAUAGUAUGAAUGGUAUAACGAAUAUAACACUGUCUUAAAGAAAAGCCUUAUAAAAUUAGAAUAAUAGUAAAGAUACUAUUUUAAAUUGUAAGACGAGAAGACCCUAUAGAGCUUAACUAUAACUCUUUAUUCUUAUUUAAAUUAAUUUACAUGAUAAAAGAGAUAGGUAGUUUAGUUGGGGCGACUGCUUUCUAAAAACAACGAAAGUAAACAAAAUUAAUAAAUUAAUUUACUGUAUAAUAAAUUUAUUUAACAGUUAUUAAAAUAGGUAAUAAUGACCCGUUAUUUGUAUAUAAUAACAGUAACGAUCAAUAAAUAAAAGCUACCUUAGGGAUAACAGGAUAAUCUUGUUCUAGAGAUCAUAUCGAAAACAAGGUUUGUCACCUCUAUGUUGAAUUAAGAUAUCCAAGAAGUGCAGAAGCUUCUAAGGGUAGGUCUGUUCGACCUAUAAAAUCUU